rnacentral:tRNA from 1 species
GGGGGAGUGGCAGAGCGGUCGAAUGCUCCGGUCUUGAAAACCGGCGUGCGUGAAAGCGCACCGUGGGUUCGAAUCCCACCUCCUCCGCCA